AUGCAUGGCUUAUGCUUAAUAAUUCUGCAGGGCCCGCCCCCUUCCUCAGAUGCCUCAAGCACACCACCUCCCCCUGUCCCCACCCAAUCACCUGACUCACAGAGCCCACCCCACCUUCUCCUGCUCCCAGGACCCAAAUUCUCCCAUCUGAGAACCUUGUGGAGGAUGAGGAAGUCUUUGAAGAGAUCCGUAAGCUCAGGCUGGAGAGAGGUCGCCUGCUGCAGAAAAUCAAGGUUCUGGAGCAGCAGCAGAGCAGCGCCACCACUGCCCUGGAGGAGGUAUUGCACUCCUUUAACUAUAAAUAAACUUAAUGGCAAUUUCCACUGAAAGGGAACAAAAUGGGGUUUGAAAGUAGUACUUUUGAUUGUGCCGAUUCUCAAAUUUAGGAGUCCAAAAAAAGAUCUGAGUUGUGUUUAGAUGAAUAUGUAAAUAUGUGCUGCACUCGUUCCUCUCAAUAACAGAAAAAAACACACAACAAUGAGCAUUUUGGUUGAAAUAUGUCACCAGUUUGUUCUUCCUUUGAAGUAUAUCAGGGCCUUAAAGGGACAGCUCACCCAAAAAUAAAAUUGUGUCAUCAUUUACUCACCCUCAUGUUGUUCCAAACCUACAGUAUAUAAGUUUAUUUCUUCUGCUGUAGACAAAAAGAAGAUAUUUUAAUAUUUUUUUCAUAUUAUGGAAGUCAGUGGCUACCAGCAACUGUUUGGUUACCAACAUUAUUAAAAAUAUCUUCUUUUGUGUUCAACAAAAGAAAGAAACUCAUACAGGUUUGGAACAAGUGGAGGUUGAGUAAAUGAUGGAAUUUUCAUUCUGGAAGUGAAAAUGAGCUAAUACACUCCAUUUAUAUUAGUACAAUUUUUUACUACAAUUUACAAAAUUUUACCAAAGUUAACUACAUAGUUUUCUGUUGUUAGUGUAACAUUGUUAAAACUAUGAUUAGGCAUGCUUUGCAUGAGAUUGGGUGGGAAGGGAAAAAGUAGAAAAAAUAAAAGUAAUCAUGAAAUUAAAAUGGACAAUUCUU
rnacentral:lncRNA from 1 species